rnacentral:rRNA from 1 species
UGCCGCGUGCAGGACGAAGGCCUUCGGGUUGUAAACUGCUUUUGGACGGAACGAAACGGCUCUCUCUAAUACAGGGGGCUAAUGACGGUACCGUAAGAAUAAGCACCGGCUAACUACGUGCCAGCAGCCGCGGUAAUACGUANGGUGCGAGCGUUAAUCGGAAUUACUGGGCGUAAAGCGUGCGCAGGCGGUUUUGUANGACACAUUUGAAAUCCCCGUUGUCAGACUGGUGUCUGCAUUUGUGACUGCNCAGCUAGAGUAUGGCANAGUCCCAUGGAUUUUCCCGUUUAGCACCG